rnacentral:rRNA from 1 species
CACGCAGGCGGUUUGUUAAGUCAGAUGUGAAAUCCCCGGGCUCAACCUGGGAACUGCAUUUGAAACUGGCAAGCUAGAGUCUCGUAGAGGGGGGUAGAAUUCCAGGUGUAGCGGUGAAAUGCGUAGAGAUCUGGAGGAAUACCGGUGGCGAAGGCGGCCCCCUGGACGAAGACUGACGCUCAGGUGCGAAAGCGUGGGGAAGCAAACA